CUUUGUUAUGCAUGAUUUUUCAUGGAUUCUUUUGUCUAUUUUUAUUUUGCUGUGGGUUCCUGCAAGAAAAUGAAUUUCAAGGUUCUGAAGUCCUGUCCUCUCUGCUUCCUGGUCUCCUCCACACUAGCCAUUCUCGACACUGCCAUGUUACACUCUAUGUACAUCCUUGUGAACGUGGCCAUCUUUCCCCAGAAGGCCAGAGAUCCCAAUGGACGGAUGUUGAGUCAGCAGGCUCUGAGGCAAAGACCAGUGAUCCCUGUGGUCAGUGACUGAGAUGGACAAGCGCAGAUGACUGCUGCUUCUGUGCACGUGACCUCCGUCAACAUCAGGGUGGGUUGAUGCUCGGUUCAGCCAUUGGCGUUGAUGAGUCCCUUGGUCGGCAAGUGUCAGGAUUGGAGUUCCGGGUGGUUGAAGCCCAAAGGUCGAAGAUCGAAGUCCGCGAAAGAUGACGAAUCCUGAAGCACCGAGGCUGCUCCCCCGAAAUAAAGCCGCAAGGAAGACUGCACUCGCUACAACAGACUGGUAAAAGAUCUCCAACAUCCUGCUGCACACAUUGGGAUCUCAGCUUCCUUAGAAAAUAGAGUCUGCUCAUCCCCUUCUUGAUGUUGGGUUUCCAGUCAAGUCUAUUGUCGAGGUGAACACCCAAGUAUUUGUACUCCUCCGCCACCACAACCUCUUCUGGCAGAACAUAUACGGGACUCAUCGAAAAACCUCUGAUGGACUUUUUCCAUCAUUCUUAAAUUUAGAAAUAAGUUUUGUAUUAGUACAGCACCUUUCCUCUCUUCCUAAAGCACUAUGUACCUCAUCAAAGAUCAGCUUUAUUCACCAUAUGCACAUAUGCAUAUGUAUUAGGAAUUUACUGUGGUGUGUUGGUGUGACAUGCAACUAAAAACAUUCAACAAUUAUAAAAAUAAACUAUUAUAUAAAAUAAAGUUAGAGGUUCAAGAUACAAAGUAUUCUUGAAAUAUGGUCAUUGUUCACCAUUCAUUUCAUCUCAGCCUCUGCUCACGCUUCCUGUGGACAACUGACCGCUAAGUUCAGGAACAGUUAUUAUCCCUCAACCAUCCAGCUCUUGAACCAAAGGGGACAAUUUCACUCACCCCAUCACUGAACUGUUCCCACAACCUAUGGACUCACUUUCAAGGACACUUCAUGCCAUGUUCUCGAUAUUUCUUUAUUAUUAUUGUUUCAUUCCUUUUGUAUUUGCACAGUUUGUUGUCUUUUACACACUGGUUGAACAUCCAGGUUGGUGCAGUCCUUCAUUGAUUCUAUUAUUGUUAUUAUUGUAUUAUGGACUUAUUGAAAAUGAAUCUCAGGAUUGUAUAUG